CGAGGCGGAGCAAAUCUCAAAAAGCCGUCCCAGUUCGGAUUGCAGGCUGCAACCCGCCUGCAUGAAGUUGGAAUCGCUAGUAAUCGCGGAUCAGCAUGCCGCGGUGAAUACGUUCCCGGGCCUUGUACACACCGCCCGUCACACCAUGAGAGUCGGGAACACCCGAAGUCCGUAGCCUAACCGCAAGGGGGGCGCGGCCGAAGGUGGGUUCGAUAAUUGGGGUGAAGUCGUAACAAGGUAAC
rnacentral:rRNA from 1 species